GGCCGCCUGGACGCCUGCCCGGCGGGGUGGGUGUGCGGGAGGCAGGGGUCCCGCCUCGGGGACAGGCGUCUGCACUCUCCGUCCGCGUGUGAAUCGCUAGAGGUUACCCCCCCGCGCCGGUGUCCUUCAGUCCCGGGCUCCGCCCACCGCGCUGGGCCGCGCUGUCGGCCUGCGCCUCCUGUCGCCUGCCAGGUGAGGCUCAGGCCUGACAGGUGGCUUCCUGCAGGCGGGCGGAGCGGCGCGGGCGGCCGGGACCCAGGGUCACGACCUUGCUUGUUUGCUUCGCCAGAUAGUUCCAGGCACUUUUUUUCCUGGUUCAGAGCAGUUGAUUCUGCUUAGGGAGUAGUUAGGUUGCCAGAUUUACUUUCUUUUGGCAUCUUGUGCACGUUCUUGAUUACUUGGCUUGGAAAGAGCUGGUCAGAGAUUACCUGAAGACUCGUGACUUUCUUGGCCUGAAAAAAAUAUUUUGUGUGUAGGAAGGAAAUCGCAACGGUAUCAGAAUGAUUCGUUCGCCUAAAUACAUAGGUAAGGAGGCUUUCAGGAGAUGCAGGCGCUUGCAAACGUUUGUAUCUUUCCUUAAGGGAAAACGAAACGUGAAAUUUACCGAGUCGUAGGAAACUUAUUAGUGCUGAGAACUUAUUUUUGCAUUCCUCCCUUCCUUUUGUGAACAGAAGGUAAUUGGACAGAUUUGAAGGAAUAGUUACUCCCAUGCAUUGGGAAAUUAUUGCCUAAAUCAGUACCUGUUUUGCAAAAUAAUGGGGGAAAACCUGAGACGUGCUUUUUAAUAUUGUUUCUUAGUGAGUAUCGUGCCUUGCGUUCUGAAUCUAAGUAGUAUUAUGAAUUCUCAUUUCGUAAGUGAAUUUUAUGUUUAGUUUGGUGAUGAAGGUGUGUAUCAUUUGGUAGCAGAAGGGGUCUACUUGGUGUUGACAUCAUCUCAGGACAUGAUACUUUGAAAAACUAUUCAGUCAAGUUUAUGCCUUUUAUUUCAAAUUGUAGGACUGCGCUGUCCAGUAUAGCCACUAGCCGGAAAAAAACAAAAACAAAAAACCUGUUGCCCUGGAGUCCAUUCCGACUCAUAGUGACCCUAUAGGACAGACUAGAACUGCCCCCAUAAGGUUUCCACGGAGCAGCUAGUGAAUUCGAACUGCCGACCUUUUGAAAAAGCAGCUCAGCUAAGAUGAAUUACUUUAUUUGGAGGAAAGCAGGAUGAGAUCUGAAUAAGUACAGGUGCCGUCGAGUCGGUUCCAACUCAUAGCGCCCCUAUGCACAACAGAGCGAAACACUGCCCGGUCCUGCGCCAUCCUUACAAUCGUUGUUAUGCUUGAGCUCAUUGUUGCAACCACUGUGUCAGUCCGCCUCGUUGAGGGUCUGCCUCUUGUCCGCUGACCCUGUACUCUGCCAAGCAUGAUGUCCUUCUCCAGGGACUGAUCCCUCCUGACAACAUGUCCAAAGUGUGUAAGAUGCAGUCUCGCCAUCCUUACUUCUAAUGAGCAUUCUGGUUGUACUUCUUCUAAGACAGAUUUGUUCAUUCUUUUGGCAGUCCAUGGUAUAUUCAAUAUUCUUUGCCAAGACCACAGUUCAAAGGCGUCAGCUCUUCUUCAGUCUUCCUUAUUCAUUGUCCAGCUUUCACGUGCAUAUGAUGCAAUUGAAAAUACCAUGGCUUGGGUCAGGUGCACCUGAGUCUUCAGGGUGACAUCUUUGCUCUUCAACACUUUGAAGACGUCCUUUGCAGCAGAUUUGCCCAAUGCAGUGUGUCUUUUGAUUUCUUGACUGCUGCUUCCAUGGCUGUUGAUUAUGGAACCAAGUAAAAUGAAAUCCUUGACAACUUCAGUCUUUUCUCCGUUUAUCUUGAUGUUGCUCAUUGGUCUAGUUGUAAGGAUUUUUGUUUUCUUUAUGUUGAUGUAUAAUCCAUACUGAAGGCUGUGGUCUUUGAUCUUCGUUAGUAAGUGCUUCAAGUGCUCUUCACUUUCAGCAAGCAAGGUUGUGUCAUCUGCAUAACGCAGGUUGUUAAUGAGUCUUCCUCCAAUCCUGAUGCCCCAUUCUUCUUCAUAUAGUCCAGCUUCUCGGAUUAUUUGUUCAGCAUACAGAUUGAAUAGGUAUGGUGAAAGAAUACAACC